UAAUGGCGAAUGAACAGGGACAAGCUCAGCAUGGAAAUCGGGGUCUCUGGCCCUGAAUUGUAGUCUCGAGAUGUACUGCCAACGGAGGCGCAGAUGUAAGCCUCUUGGAAAAGAGCACCAAUGAGGGUGAGAGUCCCGCUUGCCAUCUGUAGUCCCCCGUGUACGGUGUGCGUUCUAAGAGUCACGUUCCUCAGGAUUGGAGCGCAAAGUGGGUGGUAAAUUUCAUCUAAAGCUGAAUAUUGGUUCGAGACCGAUAGCAAACAAGUACCAUGAGGGAAAGGUGAAAAGGACUUUGAAAAGAGAGUUAAAAGUGCCUGAAAUUGCUGAAAGGGAAGCGAAUGGAACCAGUGUGUCUUGGUGAGAUUGUCACGCGCUAAUGCGAUUGCUUGCUGCUUCAGCGCAAGCGUGGCAGCAGGUCUUGAGCAGGACGCGCGCGGUGCUUCUUGCCUUGCGUGUCAACCCCAGUUCACAGUUGAGGAAAACCUCAAGGACCUGGUAGCUUGCCCCCGGGUGGGUGAAUGUUCUUCGGUGAACUCGACUGUGUACUG
rnacentral:rRNA from 1 species